rnacentral:rRNA from 1 species
GACGAACGCUGGCGGCGUGCUUAACACAUGCAAGUCGAACGCCGAAGCACUAGCUUGUUGGUGUGGAUGAGUGGCGAACGGGUGAGUAAUACGUGAGUAACCUGCCCUUGACUCUGGGAUAAGCUCGGGAAACUGGGCCUAAUACUGGAUCCUACAUGUCAUCGCGUGGUGGUCUGUGGAAAUUGUUUACUGGUCCUGGAUGGGCUCACGGUCUAUCAGCUUGUUGUUGAGGUAAUGGCUGACCAAGGCGACGACGGGUAGCCGGCCUGUGAGGGUGACAGGCCACACUGGGACUGAGACGCGGCACAGACUGCUACGGGAGGCAGCAGGGGGGAAGAUUGCACAAUGGGCGAAGGCCUGGUGCAGCGACGCUGCGUGAGGGAUGACGGCUUUCGGGUUGUAGAACACUUUCAGCAGGGAAGAAGCCAGUAGUGACGGUACCUGAAGAAGAAGCGCCGGCUAACUACGUG